GGGAUUGCCCUAGUAACGGCGAGUGAAGCGGCAACAGCUCAAAUUUGAAAUCUGGCUCUUUCAGAGUCCGAGUUGUAAUUUGCAGAGGGUGCUUUGGUGGUAGUUGCGGUCUAAGUUCUUUGGAACAGGACGUCACAGAGGGUGAGAAUCCCGUAUGUGGUCGCUACUUAUCACCGUGUAAAGCCCCUUCGACGAGUCGAGUUGUUUGGGAAUGCAGCUCUAAAUGGGAGGUAAAUUUCUUCUAAAGCUAAAUACUGGCCAGAGACCGAUAGCGCACAAGUAGAGUGAUCGAAAGAUGAAAAGCACUUUGGAAAGAGAGUCAAAUAGCACGUGAAAUUGUUGAAAGGGAAGCGCUUGUAGCCAGACUUGCCUGUAGUUGCUUACCUAGACUUUUGUCUGGGGUACUCUUCUGCAGGCAGGCCAGCAUCAGUUUGGGCGGUUGGAUAAAGGUCUCUGUCACGUACCUCCUUUCGGGGAGGCCUUAUAGGGGAGACGUCAUACAACCAGCCUGGACUGAGGUCCGCGCAUCUGCUAGGAUGCUGGCGUAAUGGCUGUAAGCGGCCCGUCUUGAAACACGGACCAAGGAGUCUAACAUCUAUGCGAGUGUUUGGGUGUCAAGCCCAUACGCGUAAUGAAAGUGAACGGAGGUGGGAACCUUAGGGUGCACCAUCGACCGAUCCUGAUGUCUUCGGAUGGAUUUGAGUAAGAGCAUGGCUGUUGGGACCCGAAAGAUGGUGAACUAUGCUUGAAUAGGGUGAAGCCAGAGGAAACUCUGGUGGAGGCUCGCAGCGGUUCUGACGUGCAAAUCGAUCGUC
rnacentral:rRNA from 1 species